rnacentral:rRNA from 1 species
UGGGGAAUUUUGGGCAAUGGGCGCAAGCCUGACCCAGCAACGCCGCGUGGAGGAAGAAGGUCUUCGGAUUGUAAACUCCUGUCCUUGGGGAAGAAGAAAGUGACGGUACCCGAGGAGGAAGCCCCGGCUAACUCCGUGCCAGCAGCCGCGGUAAUACGGGGGGGGCAAGCGUUGUUCGGAAUCACUGGGCGUAAAGGGCGCGCAGGCGGCUUGGGAAGUUUUGGGUGAAAGCCCCCGGCUCAACCGGGGAAGGUCCUGAGAAACCACCGAGCUGGAGUGCUGGAGAGGGAAGCGGAAUUCCCGGUGUAGCGGUGAAAUGCGUAGAUAUCGGGAGGAAGACCGGAGGCGAAGGCGGCUUCCUGGACAGACACUGACGCUGAGGCGCGAAAGCUAGGGGAGCAAACGGG